rnacentral:rRNA from 1 species
CACGUAGGGUGCGAGCGUUGUCCGGAAUUAUUGGGCGUAAAGAGCUCGUAGGCGGCCUGUCGCGUCGGAUGUGAAAGCCCGGGGCUUAACCCCGGGUCUGCAUUCGAUACGGGCAGGCUAGAGUGUGGUAGGGGAGAUCGGAAUUCCUGGUGUAGCGGUGAAAUGCGCAGAUAUCAGGAGGAACACCGGUGGCGAAGGCGGAUCUCUGGGCCAUUACUGACGCUGAGGAGCGAAAGCGUGGGGAGCGAACAGG